UUUUUUUUUUAAUGAAAGCUGAAAUUCUGAUAUAACCAGAAUUCCUGGGACCUUAAAAGUGUCCUACGUGGUUUUUGUCUUGUUUUUGCUCUGACACAGGAAGAAGUGAAAACAAGAUGUGUGGAAAAUAUCAUGUAGAACCUCUGAACCCUCAGUUAAAGGUCUAUUUUGAGUGACUUCAUUUGUUUUAGGGUGGAGAUAAUCAGUCAAAACAAAUGCAUUCAUCUGGUCUGCAACCUACUUCCAGUUCUCAUUUGCUCCUGCUAGAUAGACCUGCCUGCCAUGCAUCAUUUUAGAGUAUUUUUGAGGUGCAAGAACUCUCCAAAAAUAGAUUUUACUUUAGUUGCCACCCAAAUUAUUUCAACCCAUGUAUGCACAGGAAUUCAGGAUUGUUCAGCGGCGCUGACGUGGGUUUCUGAGGCUCUGAGACAGGACAAUCAACGAAACAGGCAAUGGGCUUUCAUGUCUGUGGACUCCUUGGGACUCAUGGGCUGCUUCUGAAGAGUCUGCAAAAGGUAAUUAAGAAGAGUAAAUCUAUUGUCAGUCAACUUCAAUUUGCUAUAUAAGGACCACUGCAGAUCUACUGGAGAAUGCUUAAGACUCUUCAAAUUGAUACAAGGUGAGACUUGCUAUUACAAAACCCUCUGCAAUUGUUUUUUCACUCCUUAUGCCUUCUGUUGUGCUGAAAGAGCAAUCAAAUAGUCAGUCAGUUUUAUACUGUAACUAUCAAGAUCCAGCACAAUUGCUACAAGGUGUGACUUGCGAAGCCAAACAACUUUUAAUUAGGAAUGAAAGUUUCAUAAAGCAUGAGAACAGUUCUGUUAACAUUGGCUAUGUUGUUACUAUCAGAUUUUUUCAAA